GAUAGUGGUGUGGUCUGGUGGGUGGUACCCUGGACUUUCGCCAUCCAUUCAUGAGUUUGAAUCCCCACUAACUCACUUUUGUUUAUUUUUCACUAUUUUCUUAAUGAAAGAUUAAUCAUAUAUAAGACGAUUUGGAGCUUUAGAAUGACCAAAAACAAAGUUUAGAAAAAGAAUCCACCUAGUUCUCCGAUUUGGAUCAAACUGACGCGUCUGGGAACCGCCGAGCGUUUAAACGCCGCAAAUGCGUUCGAGGCGGCCGCGUUUUAGAACCUUGAUUAGGUGUAUUGGUAAUAGUGCUUUUAUUUUGAAAAUAUGCAAAAUUAAAUAUUUUUUUAGUAUAUGUGUAUAAACAUAGAACGACAACUAAUAUGAAACGGAGGAAGUAUA